rnacentral:lncRNA from 1 species
GGGAUGCUAGAGCAACUGAUUAUGCUUAUAAAAUUAAGACGUCAUAGAGGACAAUCAUUGGACACACUGCAAAUGAUUACAAUCCAUUAAACAUGAAUUCAAUGAGGAAAAUUGGAUUGCUGUUUGAGAUGAGAAUUCACUAGGUACCAUUCCUGGAAUCUUAAAUUGCUGUUUGAGAUGGGAAUUCACAAAGUACAGUUACUGAGACUCUUGAAUUAAGAAUUAAACUCGAGCAAACAGAUGAUCACAAUGCAUUGUUGCCACAGUAUAUGCCAAUUAGCAUGGUCAACAUGAGAUCCAUAUUAACCAGGACAAGCCAGCAUUAGCAAAAGGGUUUGUCAGCACACCCUUCCCUUGGCACUCAAAGGGCCUCCAAGCUACGCAGUAGCUUAAGCACCGGAUCUGGGGCCUAACAACUAACCUGUUAUUGCUUGAUUACUACAAAUACAUUGCUAAAUGAUAAAAGAGGAUCAGGAUACUGAAACGUUUUGACAAAUGCAACAUAUCAAAAUGUAGUUUUCUUUUGAUAAAUCAUAUUUAGAAAUAUUUGUCUCUAAAGAAAUAGCAACAACCAUGGAUACAUUGGCUUAUUAAUCUAUCAAACCCUCUUUAUAAUGAAUAUGUUUUACAUAACAUUGAUCAUAUGUCUCGUAUACAUGUCCACACGACACCCCGAUUAUCUGAUGGCAUACUAUUUCAUGAUGCCAUUCGAGUUUUAAAAACAAUAUUGAUGAUAAUCCAUGAAACCCAAAAAAAUGAACAUGUAAAUGAGUUAUUUAAGAUAUAUCUGUAAUCAUUCUAAACAGAGAGUAUUGUUGUAAAUGAGACGAUUCAAUAAAAAAAAUACUUAAUCAACCAUCAUAUAAACAUUGCCUUAUCAGCAAGACAGCCCAUACCAUUCCCUAGUCCAACCUACAAUUUACCUCACCAUAGGGGGAUAUUGACAAGUACCAAUUCAGUAUGCCACCAAGAAAAAAGAAGAAAAAUUUGAGAAAAAGAAAUAGAUAUAUCUUCAUGAUGCAAUUCCAAUUGUCUAUUUUUUGUUCUUUCUUGAUGACCUAUUGCUUGGGAGGAGACUGUGCAGAUCAUGCCACUAGCAGGAUUUCACCAAGAAUCUGAUCAAAUAAGGGGAAUGUCAUCGCCAACAGAGCAACCAGGCUAGACUACUUCUGAUCUAGAAUGGGUGACAAGUGGGUGGUUCUACUUCUAGCAGGGAUCCUAUGCACCAUCUGUUGACAUCUUGUGAUGGAGGUCAAUAAGAGCGUAUUAGAAACAUCCAGGUUCAAAUGACACGGAUACCAUCAAAGGACACUACUAAUUCCACGGAAGGUGUUUAUAUAAGGUUAUAAACUACAUAAAGAUUUCACGGGACUACGAUUUCUUCUCUCACAAUUUUGUAACCUAGAGUCGAAAUUUUCCCCAUCUUCUUUCCCAUUAAAUCCAUGCUUCUAGCGUUCAUAUUUCACAUAUCAGUCCAAUAUGUCAACUAGAUAAUCUUACCAAAUGAAGUUGAUUUAGGGGUAGAGACAGGGGAGCGAUAACAAAACCGUUUCUAGAAAACCAUACGGAACCAAGAACACAUCAAUACUAGUUCUUACCCAAUCUGCAAACUCGUGAGAGGAAAGAAGCAGCGAUCCUCACGAGUUCCCAUCGCAAUUCUGCUGCAAAAAGAAAUUAUCCCUCUGUUAGGAGUAAUCAAAGCCAAAAAUUUAUCCCCAAAACACCAAAUCUGGCGUCAGGAUGAAGUUAAAAAGAAGAAGAAAACCGCUGAUCAGGUCAAAAUGCUUCCAUCGCUUACCACCACCGGUUCCACCGAACCUCAUCACCACC